AGCCCGGGCGGGAACGGGAAGAGGUGUGUGCGGACAGGACAGGCACCGCGCGCGCUUGGCUUGUCCGCGCGGCGGGAGUCGGGAGAGAGAGAAGCGCGCGCCGCCUUAGCUUGCAAUCCAAUCAUAGAGCAUGAUGGCGCAACCGGCGGGCGGCGGCGGCCAGCAUCAGCAUGGUAGUAGUGGUAGGAACGGCGGCGAGGCAUGGCGGCGGUGGGCGAUGCUGGUGGCGACGGUGUGGAUCCAGGCGGUGACGGGGACCAACUUCGACUUCUCGGCCUACUCGUCGGCGCUCAAGUCGUCGCUGGGUGUCUCCCAGGAGGCGCUCAACUACCUGGCCACGGCGUCGGACAUGGGCAAGGCGCUGGGAUGGUCGUCGGGCCUCGCGCUGCUCUACAUGCCGCUCCACGCCGUGCUCAUGCUCUCCGCCGCCAUGGGCCUCGCCGCCUACGCCGUCCAGUACUUGUGCCUCGUCGCGGCGUCCGUCGCCGUCCCAUACCCUCUGGUGUUCUUGGUCUGUUUGAUAGCAGGGUGCAGCAUCUGCUGGUUCAACACAGUCUGCUUUGUUCUCUGCAUACGCAGCUUCUCUGCAAACAACCGCUCCCUAGCCCUCUCCCUCUCAAUAAGCUUCAACGGACUCAGCGCUGCCUUCUACACUCUCUUUGGGAAUGCCCUCGCCCCUUCCUCCCCAGCUGUAUACCUCCUCCUCAAUGCGAUCCUCCCUUUUGGUGUCUCUGUUCUUGCACUCCCAGCGAUCCUCCUCUGCCACAAAAAUGACGGCCACCUCCAAAGCGUGCCCAGGCAUGACAGGCGUGUCUUCCUUGGUCUCUACAUUCUCGCAUUCAUCACGGGCAUAUAUCUGGUGGUCUUUGGAUCUUUCACCGCAACCAGCUCUACUGCAUGGGUCAUCCUCACAGGUGCCAUGGUCCUCCUCGCCCUUCCUCUCAUCAUCCCUGCCUGCUCCAGUUGCUCAUAUGUGGAUACAGAUGGCCCUGACCCUGCAUUGCUACUAAACCAUGAUGAUCCACAUAAGCCACUCCUAACCAGUAACAAUCGUCAGAUGGAGUCCAAUGCGAUGACACAAAAACCAAUGGAGCACCAGAUGCAGGGCAAUUGUUGUGGAACAAUAGUGGGCAAGGGCCGCCUGGUGGCGCUCGGUGAAGAACAUAGUGCAAAGAAGCUCAUUCGGUGUGUGGACUUCUGGCUCUACUACACAGCCUACUUCUGUGGAGCCACUGUUGGCCUGGUAUACAGCAACAACUUGGGGCAGAUUGCGCAGUCAUUGCACCAGCAGUCACAGCUCACCAUGCUACUUGCUGUCUACUCAUCCUCCUCCUUCUUUGGUCGUCUUCUUUCUGCACUACCUGACAUCCUUCACAGGAAGGUGCCACUUGCUCGCACAGGGUGGCUUGCUGCUGCAUUGGUCCCCAUGCCAAUGGCCUUUUUCCUUAUGUGGAACCAACAAGAUGCAAGCACCCUGGUAGCAGGAACAGCACUAGUUGGCCUAAGCUCAGGGUUCAUCUUUGCUGCAGCAGUGUCAGUGACCUCUGAGCUCUUUGGACCAAAUAGUGUUGGGGUGAAUCACAACAUCCUAAUAACCAAUAUCCCACUGGGCUCACUCCUCUAUGGCCAGAUUGCUGCCAUGGUAUACGAUGGAAAUGGCCAAAAGAUGACAGCAACAGAUAACCGCACUGGCAUUGUUGAAACCACGAUUGUGUGCAUGGGGAUGAAGUGCUACUCAACCACCUUCUUCCUGUGGGCUUGCAUCACAUUUCUGGGAUUAGCAUCAAGCAUAGUUCUAUUCAUAAGAACAAAACCAGCUUAUGCUGCUGCUAGCCAGUCAAGUUGAAGCACCUUCGCCAAGUUUCCAGUGGAGUGGGGGAGGGAGAAACGUACAGAAGCCCGUGUGGAUCAUGAAGAGCUCCAUGGCGGCGCCAAUGGAGGCCCCAACCGCCGCAAUCUUCAGGUACCAGCCCCUGCCGUGGUCGAGGAGGAAACACCAUCUCCGCAGGAGGCCAAGAACGGCGAGGGGGAACAGGGGCGCGGGCCGCAGGGAUGGUUUGCUCUGGAUACGAUCGGGCUGGACAUUCUCAGCAUCGCCCUGCCCGCCGCCCUCGCGCUCGCCGCCGACCCCAUCGCGGCGCUCGUCGACACCGCCUUCGUCGGUCACAUAGGUUCUGCCGAACUUGCUGCUGUUGGUGUAUCAAUUUCAGUGUUCAAUUUGGUGUCAAAGCUGUUUAAUGUGCCCUUGCUUAACGUGACCACAUCCUUUGUUGCUGAGCAGCAGGCAGUGGAUGAUGAUUCUGCUGGGUCAAGAGAAGGAUACGACUUUCCAAGGUCUCCUGAGGAGUUGACCCAGAAAAGGAAGUUUCUUCCAGCAGUAUCAACAUCACUGGCUUUAGCUGCUGGUAUUGGGCUGAUGGAAACUGUGGCACUGAAUUUUGGAUCAGGAACACUAAUGGACAUGAUCGGCAUACCUAUUGAUUCUCCAAUGCGAAUACCAGCUGAGCAAUUUCUUACAUUUAGGGCAUAUGGUGCUCCACCGAUUGUGAUAGCACUUGCUGCACAGGGUGCAUUUCGUGGGCUCAUGGAUACGAAAACACCUUUAUAUGCUGUGGGUGUUGGCAACCUCAUAAACGUCAUACUUGACGCCAUACUUGUUUUUCCACUUGGUUUAGGAGUUAGAGGUGCUGCCUUGGCAACAGUGACCUCAGAGUAUGUGAUUGCUUGCAUCCUCCUCUGGAAGCUGAAUAGUAAAGUAGUACUCUUUUCCCGAAAUGUAAUUGGUGGUGGAAUCAUACGUUAUCUAAAAUCAGGUGGACUUCUGAUUGGCAGGACUAUUGCAGUACUCCUGACCAUGACACUGUCGACAUCGCUGGCUGCAAGACAAGGGCCUGUUCCAAUGGCCGGCCAUCAGUUGUGCUUGCAAGUGUGGCUGACAAUUUCUCUGCUCAAUGAUGCGCUAGCUCUGGCUGGGCAGGCUCUACUUGCGAGUGAAUAUGCAAAAGGGAAUUACAAGCAGGCUCGUUUGGUUUUAUACAGAGUUCUGCAGAUUGGAGGUGUAACUGGAAUUGCACUGGCUGUGGUUCUGUUCUUUGGGUUUGGGUCUUUCUCUGUGCUGUUCACAAAUGAUCGGGCAGUUUUAGACAUUGCCAAAUCUGGAGUCUGGUUUGUCACUGUUUCUCAGCCAAUAAAUGCUAUUGCAUUCGUGAUCGACGGGCUGUACUAUGGCGUGUCUGACUUCGCCUAUGCUGCAUACUCUAUGUUCUUUGUUGGGGCUGUUUCAUCAGCAUUCCUACUUGCUGCUGCUCCUAAGCUUGGUCUUGGUGGUGUUUGGUCUGGUCUAGUUCUUUUUAUGAGCUUGAGAGCAGCGGCUGGAUUUUGGAGGUUAGGGAGCAAAGGUGGACCAUGGAAGCAAAUCUGGUCAGAUACUAAACUGAUAAAUGACAAGAAAUGACCAUGUCUAGGUGAUUUGACGGGAAGAUGGAAACCAAUAUCAUUGACAGCUAACGACAAUUACAUGUUAGGGAGCAAAGGUGGACCUUGGGAGGCUAUCUGGUCAGAUAGUGAGUAAAGCACAGAUAUGACCAUGUGGAUUCGAUUGUUCAAUUGAUCUCCCACACUCCCACAGCCAGCAGGUAAAGGGUAAUCGUAGCAACAAAUGUGCAUACUGCUGCAGGUCAUAUAUAGCCCUGCGUAACAGGUAGCUGAUGUAGCUCUGUGGAAGAUGUUUCACUUGUAAUGGUGUUGGAUGGCUGGGCUGUCUUGUUCUGGCUGUUGGACACUAGUAGCCAGUAGGAGCUCACAGCUUUCAACUGUACUAGGAAGCUUAGUUAUAUAGUAACAAAAAAAAAAGAAAGAAAGGAAAUUGUGUUCCAAUAGAAAAUCCCUUCCUGUAAAUUUCAUUCUGGAAAUCCUUCCUGUAAAUGAAAUUUUGUCCAACAUUCUAGGAUCUGUAAAUCUGGUAAUCAUUUUUAGCACUAUAUAAACUCAGUGAUUAUCUGAAAUAGAAGAAUCUGAGUUGGUCGUUCCAACAUUGUGCAA